AAGCGAGACGGUGACGUUUAGCAAAUCCCAGAAAUAACGUCCCAGUUCGGAUUGUAGUCUGCAACCCGACUACAUGAAGCUGGAAUCGCUAGUAAUCGCGAAUCAGCAUGCCGCGGUGAAUACGUUCCCGGGCCUUGUACACACCGCCCGUCACACCAUGGGAGUCGGUAACACCCGAAGCCUGUAGUCUAACCGCAAGGAGGACGCAGUCGAAGGUGGGAUUGAUGACUGGGGUGAAGUCGUAACAAGGUAGC
rnacentral:rRNA from 1 species